AGUUUUCAUUUAUCCUUGGUCAUGGAUAUAGAUCUACAGGGAAAAUUAAUUAUUUUUUUUCUAUUUAUUCUAUCCUAGUUAGAAUAAUCCUUAACUUUAAGUAUUGUACCUCCCUUCUUCUUAGUACUUAGAGUGGAAAACCAGAGAGGCAAAUUCAUUUAUUUUACUAGAAAGAAAAUUCUUAUUUGUUUUAUCUAGAACCAUGAAAAAGAAGUGGUAUCACAAAUCUGCUUAGUUUUUUUGGACUUGAAGCGUAGAGUCGAAGGCUUUUGAGAUUCCACAAUGCUUGGGAGAAAAUGUAAAUGUCUCCAGGGAGGCCAUACCUAAUGAGGAGCUCCCAACAAAUUGCAACUGAUGUUACCUACAACCAAAUAUGUCAGGAGGGAAACACACUGGCUUCAGCCUGUACCAACCAAAUUGACUGCUUAAAGGCCAUUCAGCCCCUUUAUCACUGUGGCUCAACUUUGACUUUCUUCCCAGUUCAUCCGUGAUUCAGACUUCUGUUUCAGGAGCUUUGCCCAUGCCUUCUGCCACCUUCUGCGAGGAAUUAUACCUGUCCCAUCCCGUCAGGUCUGCUGAAUGUCCAGAGACAGGGGACUCACUGUGUUGCCCAAGACGGUCUUGAACUCCUUCCUUGGUCUCUCAAAAUGCUGGGAUUACAAGUGGGAGCCACCAUACCCGGUCAUAGUGCUCUUAUAAAAUGCAUCAUCAUAUUUAUUUUAUAAAUUCAGAAACAGAAGUCUAUAUAGAUAAGUUUUUAAGUUACUAGGGACCUGGAAAUCAUACUGAAGAUGUCUGCAACUGAAAACUCAGGAGAGUUCCGAGGCUAGACGGGUCAGGAGAUGAAUAAAAACGUUAGCCCCAACUGAUCACGAUGAGGUUAAUCACAAUACUAAUUAAAGAUACUACAGAUCCUAGGACAAUGGUCAGAAGACGAGCGACUAUACUUUCCUGUUUGCCCUUGGAAAAUCGAGGGCUGACUUUUCUACGUGCUCAGUUGUGCUCAGAUAACCUAAAUUGAUAGAGAGAAAGCUAGCAGAGGAUAAGAUAAACUAGUUAACUGUAAAUAAGAUUUUGCUGUAGGAGAAUCUUCUUGUUGCUCUGGUUUUAGAUAGCAGAGGAAGCCAAAAAAUAUCUGCUUUAAGUUACCAGGAGUUGAAGUUCAUCCCUGCUGAAGUUAACGGGUUGCUUCUUUUAUCUGGUGUAUUCUUACUUUACUGGUGAAGAGAAAAUAAAUUAAUUAAUACCUUAUUGUUAAAA